GCGAAAGUAGCUCAGCUGGUAGAGCGCAACCUUGCCAAGGUUGAGGUCGCGAGUUCGAACCUCGUCUUUCGCUCCA
rnacentral:tRNA from 1 species